rnacentral:rRNA from 1 species
CUGUCUUAGUGGCGGACGGGUGAGUAACGCGUGGGCAACCUGCCCUGUACCGGGGGAUAACACUUAGAAAUAGGUGCUAAUACCGCAUAAUAGGGAAUACCGCAUGGUAAUCCUUUGAAAACUCCGGUGGUACAGGAUGGGCCCGCGUCUGAUUAGCCAGUUGGCGGGGUAACGGCCCACCAAAGCGACGAUCAGCAGCCGGCCUGAGAGGGUGGACGGCCACACUGGGACUGAGACACGGCCCAGACUCCUACGGAAGGCAGCAG